UUUGGGGAAUAUUUUAAAGGCCAUGACUGAGUUUCUAGGGUUUGCUGUGCUUCCAUGCAGCGCAGGACCUAAUUUUUUUUUAUAAUUUUUUUUAUUAAUAGAGUAAGAUAGGACAUUUCUGAUUAUAAUACUACAUGACGAGUUGUAUACAACUAUAAAUAGAUAACUUGGUAUACAAUUAAUACUAAUAUGUGAAAAUAA
rnacentral:lncRNA from 1 species